UAUAUACUCCCUCCGUUCCAAAAUGCUUGUCUUAGAUUUUGUCUAGAUAUGAAUGUAUAUAGUCAUAUUUUAAUAUUUAGAUACAUUCAUUUCUAUAAAAACCUAAGUGAAAAAUAUUGAGACGGAGGGAGUAUAUA
rfam:Hordeum vulgare subsp. vulgare, WGS project CAJW01000000 data, contig: morex_contig_269955